AGCGAACGCUGGCGGCAGGCUUAACACAUGCAAGUCGAGCGGGCCCUUCGGGGUCAGCGGCGGACGGGUGAGUAACGCGUGGGAACGUGCCUUCUGGUUCGGAAUAACCCUGGGAAACUAGGGCUAAUACCGGAUACGCCCUUUUGGGGGAAGGUUUACUGCCGGAAGAUCGGCCCGCGUCUGAUUAGCUAGUUGGUGGGGUAACGGCCUACCAAGGCGACGAUCAGUAGCUGGUCUGAGAGGAUGAUCAGCCACACUGGGACUGAGACACGGCCCAGACUCCUACGGGAGGCAGCAGUGGGGAAUAUUGGACAAUGGGCGCAAGCCUGAUCCAGCCAUGCCGCGUGAGUGAUGAAGGCCUUAGGGUUGUAAAGCUCUUUUAUCCGGGACGAUAAUGACGGUACCGGAGGAAUAAGCCCCGGCUAACUUCGUGCCAGCCGCCGCCGUAA
rnacentral:rRNA from 1 species